AGUGAACGCUGGCGGUAGGCCUAACACAUGCAAGUCGAACGGCAGCACAGUAAGAGCUUGCUCUUACGGGUGGCGAGUGGCGGACGGGUGAGGAAUACAUCGGAAUCUACUUUUUCGUGGGGGAUAACGUAGGGAAACUUACGCUAAUACCGCAUACGACCUACGGGUGAAAGCAGGGGAUCUUCGGACCUUGCGCGAUUGAAUGAGCCGAUGUCGGAUUAGCUAGUUGGCGGGGUAAAGGCCCACCAAGGCGACGAUCCGUAGCUGGUCUGAGAGGAGGAUCAGCCACACUGGAACUGAGACACGGUCCAGACUCCUACGGGAGGCAGCAGUGGGGAAUAUUGGACAAUGGGCGCAAGCCUGAUCCAGCCAUACCGCGUGGGUGAAGAAGGCCUUCGGGUUGUAAAGCCCCUUUGUUGGGAAAGAAAAGCAGCAGGUUAAUACCCCGCUGUUCUGACGGUACCCAAAGAAUAAGCACCGGCUAACUUCGUG
rnacentral:rRNA from 1 species